GGAGAACUAGAUUUAUUAUUAAAGCAUAAUAGUACAAGCAGUUUGAGGGGGCAUAUGCAUCAUUCUACGGGGUGACCUCUUGAUGGGUCGUAACAAAAAGGGGUGUGCAGGGAGAAAUUACUACUUCUGCUACUACUAUUACUACUACUAGGGCCUAUAUUAUGAGUAGUACAUAAAGGAUGUUCAAGCGGUGGUUGCAAACGGUUUGAAGGUGGAAGAGAUGGUAGAGCCAGUCUUCUAACAAAAAGCUUUCCCGUGCGAUCGUUCUCCAGUGCUGCUCGAACAAAAGAUGGUGGUUAUAUAUAUAUACAGUGACUCCUGCGGUACUCUCCAUUUGGCUACCAGACUUUGCAAGUAAGUCAGCGACUUUGUUUUGUUCCCUGUAGGUGUGAAGUAGAGCUGGAUCAUCCAAGUGUGUGAGUAGGAACCUACAAUCAUUGAUAAUGUUAGUAUUGGCGGAUGUGAAAUUUGUAGAAUAUUAAUGAUUGCUUGGGCAUCUAAGUUCACUUCUAAUGGCUUAUAACCAUGUGUAAAAGCUAAUUGCAAGCCAUAAUAAAGUGCGAAUUCUGAUUCCACACUCCCAUGAGAGAUAUGGUAACCAGCAAAUCCCACAACCCACGAACCCGAGGAGUCACGAAUUACACUGCUAAUUUCGCCUCGUCCUGUUGGUAAUUGAGCGGAACCAUCAGUGUUUAAUUUAAAAAGGGUGGAGCUAGGGGGAUGUCAUUUGAUGUAAAGAGGGAUAUGACCGUGAGGGGAUGGUGGUGGAGCAGAAAUAAAAUAGUAUUCUGUAGCCCUUUUUAAAAUAUGUGAUGAGGAGGGGGGUGUAGUGUGGGUGCGGGAUACUUUUUCAUUUCGAGAUAACCAAAUAUGCCAUAAGCAGAAAGGUAUCAGGAUGGGAUUGGGG
rnacentral:lncRNA from 1 species